UAAUAUUGUUUCUCUCCCAGACUCAAAGUACAGUGACAAAUAAAUGAUUUCAAGUAUCCUCCUGAGAUAGGGAGAACUGAGAUAGAUAUUGCCAGCAGGCACUGAUCCACCUGUGGUGAUGGGAAGGUUGAGGGAUUCAUGGGGGAAUGACAGAUUUGGAAAGCUGCAGCAUGGCUUUUCUAAAAUGACACAGCCAAAGAUAUUCUAGAGAUUAUCCUCAAAAACUCGGUGGUCAAGGGCUUAAUGACUUAAAUAGCGGUCAAAUGUCUGCUUGUUAUCAAUCACCUAUUGCCAGUUGAACUGCAUUAAUGAGGGUUUCUUGAUAAAAGCUGCCUUAUCAUCCGGAACUGAGAUACCCAGCCUAAUGUGCUCCAGCAAGGCUUGAGGAAAUGCUCCUCUUAGCAGCAAAGCAGACGAUGUGUCGCUUUCCUGAAUUAGCCUGAGUCAAAUGGAUGGUCAGACCCUCCAGAAAGAAGCAAUUUCUUUCACCUCUUGUAUUAAAGGAGUGCUUUAUCCAUGUGUCAGAAAGCAUUCUGGCUGUCUUGCAAGAGUUUAGAGUCCAACCAAACACACCUUGGUGGCCAUUUGCAGUGGCCAGGGUUGAAGGUCACAGGGUAGGGUCACUGCACCCUGAGGGGAUGGCACAGGGUUUCACUGUACAUUGUACAUCCCCCUGCCAUAACCACUUACCUCCUUGGAGAAAAUGGGUUGGAAAUGGUAUUUAACAUUGUUGAUGACAAUUUUUCCAGAUUUAUUACCUGUUUUUUGUUCACUGUUUGGCUGCCUACUCCCCUUCCAUCUGCCAGCCCUGUAAUCCACCUCCUCUUAUCUCAGCACAGUUCGCUCCACCUCUUGCUCAUUUUUGUUUUAUUGCCCAGCUAAUCUCAUUCUCCUGCUUUUCCUGACACUGCUCCCCUCUCCCCAUCUGUGGAGAUUAAAUCACUUCUCCUUUUGUUUGAUGCCACUCAACAUUCCCCCAUUUCACUCAGGCUUUGGGAUACUUCCAGGCACUUUUGCUGUUGUUGCACACAUCCAUUUUCCUGGCACAAAAAGGCCCAUCAGCAUCUGAUGGAAGCGUUACUGAGUCCUCAUUUCAACCAGUUCUCAGAGAUGUCCUGAAUGUGAAAUGGAGCUGAGCUCAGCCUGCACAGUGCAGCAGAGGCAGGUGUGUGUGUCAGGAAUUUCAGGAGCAUCCGCAGGGUGCUCAGGGCAGCUCUAGAGUGGUGACAGAGCCUGGCAUCUGAAUAUUAGCCAAGAAAACUGGAGAUCAAAGGCAUGGGGUAAAAAAUCUCCAAGCUACGAAAAUGUGAAGUUUUGGAAGUGGUUUUCAAUGUUGUUGGUAAUGUAUCAGUGUAGUCAACCAUCAUCCCUAUUUACAUCUAGUGGCUUGUCAGUGUUCAUGGCCCCAACAGUGUCAUUCUAGCUACUGCUGAGAGUUGCUGGGGGUUUUAGGCUCAAGGUUGAAGCCAGUCUCCUUGUUCAAGGGUGUUAAGUGCAUCCUGGUUUGGGCACAACUGCAGCUAUGGGGGGGGGACAGUGGAUUUUCAUGCCAUGUGUUUCUGGCACCCUUCCACCUUCCUGCACAGAGAACAGUGCUGGACACUCCCCUACCAGUAUUUCCUCCACCUGUGUGACUGUGGAAGUCCACUGACUGCACUGCUGCUCGUGUUGGCUCAGAACUGGAACCAGCAGAGCCUUUAACCCCCUGGCAAACCCUGGACAAUUUCAAAAUGCCUUGCAGGGACCACAUGCACUAACAGGACUCCUCACAGCUGUCAGUCGCUGUUCCUCCUCACUGUGAGCACCCCAGCAUGUUUGCUGCCAGAACAAACCCUAAAGUCUUCAAAUAACCCCCCUUUGAGUACAUGGGAGAUGCUUCUCUUAGCAAGGACAGCUGCUGUUUGGCCCUAAUCAUUGAGUUUAAGAUGUUUUUUUAUUCUGUUUGGGUUGUAUCUCUUGCCUUAAUCUCCUCUUGCAAUGCUAACCAUGAUGCAUUUGCUAUAUGUCCCCUCACUACUUUUAUCUACCAACAUGUUUUAAAUAGGUUUAAAGAGUACAGGAGCUAAAAAAAAAAAUAAAUCAGGCAGCUUCAGAUGAAAGCCAGCAGCAGGCCUUUAAAAAUAGAGUGGCAGCCCUGCACGAGGUGCCGAGUAAGUGGGUGCACGGGAGGGGAGCGGAGCGGCUGCAGAGGCUCUGUUUAAACAGGAGGUAAAUAAGUGGCUGGGGGAGCUGCAGUUCAUCUUGUUCCCUUACGUGUUGCCCAGAUAAUGCAACAUAUCUUCAGGCAGGCUGGUUCUAAAAAUGGACACAGCUCUUGGGUUUCACUGGGUGACGCUCGGGCUGCGCUGUCCUACAUCCAUGGGAGCAGUGAAAUGGCAUUUAGUGUUUCAAAAGCAGCAGCAGUGCUCAGGUCUUGUCACUGGUACUUUAUGAAGACUUCUAUAAUGAAGAAUGUGUGACUUUAUACCAUGGUGCCUAAUGCAGAAGCAGCUGCCUGUAAAUCCCUGGGGUCAGGCAAUGUUUUGUUAAAAUUCCCCUUCCUGCUGUGGUUGACCUGUGAAAACAGCAAUCAUCUGACAGUGACAGCAGCACUUAAUUAGUAAUUCAGGAUUAAAGUGUUCUGUCCAAUGAGUAAUUUCACAGAAGCAGAGUUUAGAAUUGGAGCUGGUUUAAUAUAACAAAACUAUUGUCAUGAAAGCCUCCUUGGCAUUUUAAUGGUGUUUUUCUUUGGUCUAAAUAUACAUGAGAAGUUGAGAGGAUGUUUAAAUCUGAGCGGGGGAUAAAAGGGACCAAGAGAAAGACUUAAAGGUCUUGUCCAAACUCCGCACAAUUGUGCGAGCCACUGGCUUCCCUAGGACAGGGCAUCAUCCCAGGGAGCUGCACUAUUCACCAUUCCUCUCACUGCUCCAGGGGUGUUAAUGUCUUUAUCUUCCUUCUCACCCUCCUCUCUCCUGCCUAGUUGAGCAAAGCUCAGCUGUGCAGAGGAUGAGUAUUUGUUAACCUCCAGUGGCUGCAGUAAUGGUCAACUGGCUCCCAAAGAGACUGUGUUUGGGUUGGGCACAUGCUGCUCACUGACAGGGAGAAUUCUCCAUUUCUUUCUAAAUGAGUCUUCUCAGGCUGUCCCUGUUCAGCAAAUUCAGGAGAGAAAGGGCAGCAGGGCCCCUUGACCAAACCUUGGCAAGCAUGUUCUGUAGAAGGCAGCAGAGAGUGCAGCCUUCCCUGUGGGAAUAAAGUGAUCCUCUGUUGAGUGAAGUGUUGCCUACAAGGUUAAUUAGCUGUAGAAAAUGAGCUCGAAUACUUAGGAGUAAUGAAUCAUAAUGAAUCGUUAUGUUUGAGGAGUGACAAAUUAAAUUUAUGCAUAUUUUGGACUACUUGUUUUAGUCAGAAUGGAAAAUAGUGCUAUGCUUUUUUCUGUUGUUCUGCCUUCAUGUCGAGAUGUCAGGAAGCAAAUCAACAUGGCCAGAGUUUGUAAAGUCUGGCAGUGCUUGAUUGCACAAUGUUUAAUCUCUCUUCGAAGUCUUUGAGCUGGGCUAGGAGCAGGGGCUUCUCUGGAAUCAAUACAUUUGCCUCCACCUUCAGUAGAUGGGAUUUUGACCUGAAAAAACACAAAACUUCUCCUAAGCUAAAAGAGAAAAAAAAAAAAGUUGUAUUGUCCUAAUCCUGUGAGUGGUAGUGUCCUAUGGCAGCUCUGACUGAGGUGUAGCACCCUCAUCUAGGAAAGCAGAUUGAAUUACAGCCCCACCUCCCAGACCAAGGUGAGUCAAGGGACCUAUUUGUAGCAAGAUUCAUCAGAUCCUUCGGCUCCUGCUGUUCCCAGAAGAAUCUCUGGAGUUUUUCUGUGGAAUUAGAUCCAGCAACAUAACAAGCUAAGGGGCAGACAGGCAUUGUAACCCUUGAAAUACCUGGAAAGUAAGGAUAAGCAAGCUACUCCUACCUGGAAGAUAACUUCUGGAAUCUCAAUGUAAGAUGAAGGACACUGUGAAAAAGAGGAUCUUGAUAAGAAGAAUUUGUUCUUAGCCCCCUUCAAGAAUCGUAAUGUAUCCCUGGGUGAGCUGAAGCCUGACACAACCUGCUGUCCUUUGGGUUUUUUUUUUUGUUUGGUCCCAAGGUUCAGCUGGUUCAAGGGCUGGAGGAGCUGUGAGCAGGAUUUGAAUUCACAGCCUCUCUUUUAAAUAGAUCAGUGGUUCCAGGAGGGCAAGUGAUACUGCUGCAGUGAUUAAGUUCUUUGCUGGAUUGAUGCCUCUGGAAGUGUUUGGAGAGAUUUGACAGAUCUUCCAGUCUGUUGAAGGUUCCCAUGGUGUUGGCCCAGCCAUGACUAUGUGAGGCAAACUGUUUGUGUCACCCCUGGGAGAAAGCAUCUUUCUCACUCAGAGCAAAGAGCUCUUGGGCGUUCAAAGACAAAAGGUACCAACUGACAUUUAGUUCUGCUACUAAUUAAAUGUCAAAAACUAAUACAAGUUAAGACUAAAUUAGUACACUUCUCCAGAUGUUUUCACAGUUGUCCUGCCUGCAGCACUGUGGGUUAUGUUCUGAGCUGUUAGGUACUCAAACUGGUCCUUCUCAUCUCCGCUGAUGUCGUUGCUCCUGGCAUGAUCAGGUGCAAACUCCCACUUAUUAAGAGCUAUGAAGGAAUCAUUCUGACACAAAGUGGAAAAUUCUCCUUGGGGUUCAGAGCUCUUGCAAGAGGCAGCCAGUGAGGUGACUGCUUAUAGAGCUGACCCCAUGCUUCGAGUUGUGGAUUCAUAUACAAUAUCUGUGAAAGCAGCUAUUCUUGCUCUUGCCAAACUCCUCAGAAGACCCAUAAAAUGAUGUUAGUUGUAAGCCACAAGCUGGCUCUUAUCUUUGAAUUGUUUUUCUCUGACAAUUUUAAGAAGAGCUCAGCAUGUUCUCAGUAGGAGCUGAUGGAUGCUGAGCACUUCUGAAAUCCUGCCAACUUCAUUUAGGUUCCUAAAUGGGAACUGAGUGCUUUUGAACGUAUGAUCCUAAGGGUGCAUUUCAUAACACUAUAGCUCUGUCCAUAUCAUUUCUUUCCUCUCUCACUGUCCCCAGAAUGCUCCCAGCAGCAGCAAUAACACCAGGAGCACUGGGCUAGUCAAGGCUUGAGUGAUGCCUCAGUUAUGAUGUCAGCUCAAGGCACACUGAACUGAAUUAAAUGACAGCAGUUAAAAGGUGCCUGUCUGCAUCCAGUCUGCAGUAAGGUCACCAUCAUCACUACCAGCAUUAUGGAUAUAUUUGAGAUAGCUGUGGUAGAUUUUAUAUGUAUGUAUAUAUAUGAAAACAAAAAUGUAGUGCAAAUUCUACCUUGUUUUUCAGAGUAUUUCAUCCCAUGUUUCAGGCCAUGUGCACUCUACUCAACAAUGCUCUGACUCUCAAUUUCAGGAUUCAAAUUUUCUCCGAGGUAGGUUCGUGGGGCAGAUAUAAUGAAUAUUUUUUAGUGUUGUGGAGCAGGGUAGGAGGGCAGACGAGCCUUUAUCUGAAGCUUUUCCAACAGACUUAGUGCAUGGACAGCAUCUGUUUUGGUCCUGUGAGGCUGACAUCCUCUCCCAGCAGACUUGGCAGUGAGCAGAAGAGCCACAUGUCAGAAAAUCUGGGGGGCCCAUGGGCUGCGGACAAAAGUAUGGCAAAGAAUUUAAACAUCAGUGAGUGGAGUGAUGCUGGAGGGCUGGCUGAAAGCGAUUAGCACAGUGCUCUGGAAUGUGGCAUUUCAAUAGCCGCUCCAGAAGGAUCUGCAGCCCCAUUGACUUCUGCAGCGUCAGGAAAGAGCCCUCACACUCCAGCUUUUGCCAGUGUGAAUGGGAACGUGCAGGGCUGUGUGUGCAGCAAUCACAGAGCUCCCUGCUCUGGCUCUGCACACCCUGCCCUGUGUCCUGCUGAUGGGGGGGUUUCCUUUGCUCCACGGGAAUCUGAUGCCCCAGUGACUCAGGUGGCUCUGGGUCCUCCUGCAUUGCCAGAACCCCCCCUUGUCAAAUCUGCAUCAAUAUCAGCUGUAGCUUUGCUGUUUGCCUACCCUGGGCCAAAGCAUCAAAGGCCACCUGUGGCCAUGAUCCAGCUGUUGUCAGCUGUGCAGUCGGGUGGUGGGUGGUGUGGGGUUUGGGUGUUUUGUUACCACGUGUGUCAGUGUGGGGCUUGGGUGUUUUGUUUCCACUGCUGCUGGGUUUUGGCCUCUUUGGGAAUGCACCAAGUGGGACUAAGAAUGUGUCUUUGGUCACAUUUACUUGUUUAAUUUUUUUCUUUACAUUUUCCUUCCCCCCCCCCUUCUGACUUUUAGGUAGAUAAUCAAAGUGUGAAAUAAAUUAAAAAUAAAGCUGGGUAGAAGGCCUGGCUGAUGAGAGCACAUAGAUUUUUAGUUGAGGUGGGAGAAGAACGCGCUCAUUCAAGCCCUCAUGGAGGGCAGGGAAUUCCCUGGCUUUUGUCUAAAUAUGGCAUGAGAGAGCAGAGCACAGGCAGUGCAAUGCUUCACUGAGUAUUGUUUAAAAGGGAGCUUGGCAGUGGCCAGCAAGUAGGAUUCUUGUGAAAACAUGGCACAAGGAGUUGUUUGACAGAUUCUGACAUAGCAAAGUCUUUACAAGGGGCAAAAAAAAAAAAAAAAACGAAGAAGGAAAAGAGAGAAACUGCAGACUACAUGAAGCCAAAAGCAUAGUCUCUGCCUAGAAGAUUGCAGAAUAAAAGGCACUUAGCACUGAGUCACACCCUGCAAGCUCUGUGGGUCUGAUCCUCUCAGUGAUCGAUUGCACUGAGUUAAAAUCCCCUCCUAAAUGAUUGCCUGUUGUCAGUCAUCCAGAAGAGGGGAUGAAGAGGAGUGAGAGCUGGGGAGGAGACUGCCAUGGCUUGCACCCACUCACCAGAGUCUCUAUCUCAGACUUGCCUGGUUGGGUGGACCCAUUCUCUGCCAUCUCAUGUUUCCCCCUGUGGGUAAAUGACAUUUCAGUAGCAGGUUUAUGGAUGCAGCACUCAGUCCCAAGCAAUCCCGUGGUUUGUGUAGGUGUCUCCCUUUUGCAAAGCUUAUGCUGAUUUGUGGCUUUGAAUAUCUAUUGCAGCAGUGAGCAAUGAUUCCUGCCUGGAAGAAAACCCCUCUCCCACUGCCUCUGCCACGUCUGGAGACACUGUGAGUCCCUCAGAGCAAAAAGGCCUUUACGCAUCUCAGCAAUGGAGAGUUUUGCCUCCAAAAUUCCAAUGCUCUUGAAAUAUGGCCAUUAUGUGAGUGUUUUGAAGGAGGGAAAACUUAUCUGGGAUUCAGUGCACUUCUGGAGGUCUCGGAUGGAGACACCUCACUCGGUGACUCUGCUACUGAUGCCAGCUACUGAACAGACUGUGUAGCUCAUACAGAGGAGGUCUUGGCUCAGGCUUCCCCAUUUAAAGUGGAGCCCUUACCUAAAUUCACCUUGAAUGCAACAUCCAUGCUCAAUCACAGCUGGAGCUUCCUCACAUCGAAGAUAAGACAGUCUUCCUCUGGUUGGUGGUUUGGAUGGUGUCCUGCAGUGUAAACUAGAAUGAUAGGAGUAGUCUGUAAUUAGCACAUAACCUCAGGCAGUUUUGUUCCUGAAAUGCAAGGCCUAAGUUGUUCUGCUGCAAUAGUGUUGGUUUAGUGAGUCCAUUAACUGCUCUGCAUCAUGUUAGUGAAAGCUGUUCCCUAAGAGCUGCAAAGGUAUGGAAUAGGAAACAGGAGUCUCUGAUCCAGUCCUGCAGGCAUCUUCCAGUGAAACCAAAGGGAAGCCCAUCAUAUGUGUUGCCCAUGAGAUGCACUCCAUGGCAAAGCAAUGAAGCCCAAGAGUUUCUGGAUCAUCUUAGCAAAGCUCAGGGGAGAGCAAAGGCACAGGAGCACUCCCCUACCCUUUUUGAACAUUUCAGUUGAUGUUGUUAAUUGUAGUGGAGCUGCUGCAAAUAUUUUGGAAAGCAAAUAUUUGAUGUCCCCAUCCAGCAGAAAAUAAGUCGAAGGACCAACCUGCUGCCACUCACUUGAUCGUUGCAACAAAACCAGGGCUGAGAAUCAAUAGCAACGACGCUGAGCUUUUGUGGUCACCUCCUCUCCAAACAAGGGCUGUGAUGUGAGAGCAAACAACACCUGCUUGGAGGAACUGGGCACGGGCUGAAAGGGAGCUGGUGGGCAGAGGCUGUUUGUGCAGCACUGGGCUCUGGGGUGGGGCUGCUGGCAGAGGCAGGAGGAAGAUGAUAUCUCCAUCAGCCCGUGCUAAUGUGAGAGGCAGAAAGGGGUGAGCUCCUGCCUUCCCUGUGCCCCGGCUGGUGAGUGAUGGACAGUGACUCCUCCGUGCCUGCCAGGAGGAAAGCCCUGGAGUGGGACUGCCCUCCAGCCAGUCCUGCUCUUGGCUGGGGUGUGGGUCACAUCAGAGGACAAAUUGAAGGGUUGUCACAAGGAGAAAAUUGGGCAGCUCCUUGUGUGGCAGAGGCAGCAGAUCAGUCACCACUCACAUCUCUGCCCAAGUAUGAAUUCUCUAAGGAAGACCAAUAUCACUUUGCCCUAACUGGAAAGCAGGGGAGAUGGCACAUACUUCACAUGCUCUGGCUGGGCCCAAAUACCCAAUGUGCAAGUGAUCUGCUUUUGGGUGCUGCUUUUUUUCUUAAUCUUAUUUUUUUUGUUGUUGUUUUUAGCCUUCUAAAAACAGACUUCGGAUUCAUCAGCUGGAAGUGAUCUCAUCACAUUACAGAUUCGCUUUCCUGGGAAACUGAACUUCUGGUAUAAUCAUGGGAAAGUCUCACCUUCCCUUUUUAUUUUCUUUUAACUGAGUUUCUAUUGAAAUUAGCUUGGCAGACUAACACCUCAGAACGAAAGACACAAAAGAAAACUCUUUGUUACUACUAUUUCUUUUUUAAUCUCUUGAUUUUCUUACCAAUCUAGUGAUUUUGGAGAUAGCAAGUGAUAUUUGGAUAUUUAAAGACACAUAUUCAAAUCUGUAGAGUAGGCAGGCCCCUUAAUAAUACAUUUUACCAACGGUCUGUUUAUCCCAUUGCUGGCAAAAAAAUAGAGGCAAACCCCAAUAAUUAAUUACUGCUCUGUCUUUUGUACUGUUCUUUGAACUGCAACAUUUUUGUUCACUCCUACCCUUUUUCUAGCUCUUACAAAUGCUCUGCACAACUGGAAGGUGGCUCAGCAAAGCCAGUGCAGUAUCUCUGUAGCCAAGCAAGGACAGACUUGGCUCCUCUUCAAAGGGAGCUUUUAUCGGGUGUUUAGUGUGAUGUGACAAAGCAGGGAAGUGUGCCAUGGAUGCAAUGCUUCCAAAUCCCCACCUUCUACCUUGAUUGAACUUGAGAACAAUUAUCCCUUGCCAGGGUGAUGAUCCCUGCCAACGUGCAUCUUGUUUACAGCUGUGCUCAGUUUUUAACAUAUUUUUCUGUUUUGGACUAGGACAGCACGAUUCUGCUUUAUGAACUGGACAAAAUCCAUUUAAAAUAUCAAGUUUCUCGUAUUUUACCACAGGAACCAGAAUGUGGUGUUUUGGGCUGGCAGCCCCAGUGCCCCAGGAUGACACUGCUCACGUGUGCAAAGUGACGCCUGGGCCCCAGCAGACCUGCAAGGUCUCACUGUCAGUGUGGGAAAGCUUUGGAUGGGGCCAGCAGAAACUAAAAAGAUUUAUUCUGGGAUUAUUUUAUUGUGCUUGGAACAAGCAUUUACUGUCUGGUGUGACUGAGCUUUAGACGCUGCUGUAAAUUCCAGAUGAAAAUUGCACAGCAUUUGCCAUUCCGUUUUGCCCUAUUUUGUUUUGUGGUUCCUUUUCGUUCCUAGAUUCUGCUUUAUUCUGAAUUCUAAUGAAUUUAGAUCAUUGGAUCAAAGUCUUAUUAAAAAAAAUAAUAAAAAAAAACAACAAAAGAAAAACCAACAAACCCCCCCACACAUUUUGGCCAAAAAUAUUUGACUAAACAUUUUUAUUUUACUAAUUUCCCAAUUGCCUAUAGCAGUCACUUUAAAAAUGUCUGCACCCAAACCUAGUUUUACUUGAAAAUAUCCUCUUCCUUUUCUCUCUCUGUUUUUUUUUCUUCACAAGAACCAGGCCAGUUUUGAGAGACACUUUAAUAUGAAAAAUGCACAUCAGCACCCUGAGAAAUUUCCAUGUUUGGCUUCGAAUCUGUCAGGUUACAUGGAGAAAAAAAUAUCUUGUAAAUUUUCUUGUUCAGUCACUUUUUAAUUUGAUGGUUUUGCCUUGCCAUUUAGGCAGAAUAUAUUGAGAACAGGAGCUUUUCUCCCUGGUCAUUCCUGCUCUGCCCUAUUUUUACCCAGCUGAUCCCAGCCCAUCACUCUGUGCCCUGGCAACUUACUGGCUUCCUCCUCUUUUCUCUGGAUUAUCUUCCCUCUUUUUGUUGACUAAAAGGACAAGUCUAUUUCAGUUGAAGGAAGAGCCAAGAUUAUGAUGUGGCACUGAACUUUGCUGAGGAUUCGCUGUUUGUCUCUGAAAUCAUCCUUGGACAGCGGUGAGACACCAGACCCAUCUCCUGGUUGGACUUGGCUCUGUGCUGUGAUUCCAGGACUGGCAGGGGGUCCCUCUCAGCACGUUCCAGGGUGCAGAGGCACCUCUGAGCAGUGAGGAGGGUUUUCCAGUGAGCCCGUGCUGAGGCAGCAUCAGUCCAGCUCUUUGCUGCUUUGCCCACCUCGUGUGUGCAGGAAAAACCUUGGCUCAGCCUGGGCCAGACCCACCUGUGAGCGCGUGGAUGGGGAUGUGCCGCGCCGCAGGCUGGGAUGUGCUGCUGGGAAACAGCGUUGGCUCUUGGCCAGCCUGGAGCAGGGAGGUGGCAGGGAGUGCCUUUGAUGCCUCGGCUCUGGCUGAGCAGUGGCUCUGGGAGGGGUGGCCCCACGGGCAGUCACAGUGAGGCUCUCCAACAAGCUGUUCCCAUUCCUGCUCAUCAUGGAAGCAGCAGCCCACCUGUUCUCCGCUGUGCUGGAAUAUCAGCCAGCACCCUGGCUCUGUUGUUUCAGGCUGCAGUGGGUAAUUUUUAAUCCCUCUAUUCAGAGUGUUUCUAGGAACAGGAGGAGAAACAUACGGCGUAUGCUCACCUCGCCUCCCAGGAGGUGUGGGGGAGUGUGUCCCAGCAGCUGCUGGGGUAAUCCUUGUCCUUCUGUCCCCAACCACAUCUGAAAGGUGUGCCCAGCGUGUCUGGGCAUCACCCCGCAAGCAGGUGGGCUCCAAUGGCUGAGCAGGGCUGAGGGGGUCAAAGUCCCCAACAGGGGCAUGGACAAGGGCAUGUGCAGGGCACAGGGACUGGAGGAGUGACUCCAUCCUCUCCUGGGUUUCCCUGAGGCAGACCAGCUCCACAGUGGUGCGGGGGGCACCUCAAAGGCACAGGUUAUCCCUCCACAGUCACACUGGGGCUUUUAGGGUAUGGAUGCCAUGAGUGUUUGAAAGUUGCUUGGAUUAAGGACUCACAGUUGGCCAAAGAGGGUCUCUGGUGAGCUCUGGGCUGGACGCAGCUGUGAUCUUAAAGCACACAAGGUAUCUGCAGGAGUAGAGAGGGGGGAGCAGGCUGAGUGCUCAGCUACUGGGACCUACCUCCUGGAUCCUGCAGCUCCCCCUGUCUUCCCUUGUCACCAAAUCUCCAGCACAUGAGGCUUUGAUGCCCUGUCAUUGCUCAUUGUCCUGGCCCUCACCCUGACCCCACUGCAGCCGACGGGAAUGGUGUCAGUGGGGCCGGUGGCAUAACGAACAUUUUGUCUUCUCCCUUCGCUUGUUCCCUCCUGUGUCCCCUCCUGCCCACCCUGCUCUCGCUCUCUCGCUGCAUCGCCUGCUCUGGGCACCAUCUGGUGAAUUUUGGGCUGUCUCAUCUCACCAACUGUCGUUUGUCCUGGCUGUGCUGUAAAUGCGCUCACGUUUUGCUUCAAAGGACCCCUAAACCACUCUCUUUGUGGACCAGCCGGGCUGUCGGAGAGGAGCCAAGCCGUUGGCACUCAGCAAGCAACAAGCAUUAAUAAAAGCAUUACAGUGAGGUUAGAGCCUCAUUAAAGUAAUGCUAACGAACCGGCUGCCUUCCAAAAGUAUGAAAUUUUUGCUAACACUUCCUCCUUCUAAUUUUAAGUAUAUUUAAAUCUUUCUAGGGAGGCAAUAUUCAGUCCUCCAGGCUACAGCAUAAGCAAAGCCCAUUUCAGAGGAGCUGCUCUGGAAGUGCACUGAUGCCCUUGGGAGUGUUCUCCAGCCCCAUCCUGCAGCCUCACUGCUGUGACCACACAAUGGGGCUGCCCAGACGUUUUUCCCCCUGUGCAGUGUCCUGGAGCUCACUCUACAGAAGCCCCAGUGCCCCAGAGUGCCUGCCAGCACUGGGGUAUGUGGACUGAAGGCAGGGGCUGCACCCACUACUGCCCCAUGCUCCCAGCCUUGGCCACAGCCAGCAGACUUGUGUUAGAGCAGCCAAAGGAACCGCUAAUUGACCCAGGCUGGCACGGGUCUGGCCCUGAGGUGCAGACAGUGCCCUUCAUCACAGCUCUUCUCCACUAUUGUUAACUCGCAGAGACACUGGGAUGAAAGGCUUGGCAGCUCGUAUCUGCUGCUGGCACCCUUUGCCAGGUGUGUCUGGAGGGGGGAGAUCCCACCCUGUGGUCCACAAGCAGCAUCUGAGCUUUGCUGGGUGGAGAUCGCUGGGCUGGGACUGGCGUGCCGAAGGGGCUUUGCUCUGGGACCCCCUCCAGCCUCCUCGAGCACCCUCAGGGCUGGCUCCAGGUGGUUCUCCUGGCUCCCCACGCUCCCCCCGGGCUGUGCAGCGCUGUGCCCGCCGCGGCAGACACCCAACUGCCCGCCGAGCCCGCGGCUCCAUUGUAAAGCAAAUUAAUUCGCCGCCGCGCCGAGGAAUAGCCGUGCUCUCGGGGAGGCUUGGCAGCAGCAUUGAGGAAAGCAGCUGCUCCAGGACUCAGAGCCCCUUUUUAUUUCAUUUGCCUGGUUUUAGCAGCAUGUGAUGGGCACAUGAGCAGCAGCUCUGCCGGACAUCUCUCUGACUGGGGGGCUGAAGCUGCUGUCUGCCCCACUCCUGUGGUAAGCACGGGGCUUCUCCCUUCUGGUCCUCCUCCUCUCAGCCCAGAUAGGUUUUUAUUCUCCUACUCACUUUGAAGCAAACCCUGCAGUUUCAUUGUCAAAGGACAGUGUUUGAUGGAUGAAUCCCUCUCUUUUACCUUGCCUGAUAGGGAGGGUACAGGGCAAACAUGGUGUUUUAAACAAUAAAUACCACUCUCUUGUGUGGAAACAACCAGUCCAAAUGGUUUCUGCUAUGUUUAGCAGCCCGUUUGAAGGGUCUGCCCGAGGGAGAGGGUGGCAUCAGAAUGAACUCAGUGUUACAGCACUGCCUUCUGUGCGACUUGUUGCAGAGACUCGCUGAGAGCUCGAUGAAGUUGCAGGUUUGUACUAAGGGUGUUCCCCCACUGCCUCCCGAACCUUGUGGGUUAGGGGGGCUGCAGAGGCAAUUGCUCAGCUCCUGGGUGUCCAUGCCUGGGGCUGGCAGUGUCUGUGGGAGUUCAUGUCUUGCUGCAAGAUUUCCUCUUCAUUUCAAGCAUUACAACACAGAUUUUCCUCUUGCAAAGGCCCCAGCUCUGCAGACAGGCACUGUCCUCACUGCAGGGAAAUUAAUAGGGUGUCUCGGAGCAAAGGUAAAACUAAAGUACAUAAGUAAAUGUUUGCAGGAUCAGGACCUUAUUCAGGCAUAAAUCAGGUAGCUCCAGCCAACAAUAGAAUUACCUUAGUAUAAAAUCCCAUGUAAGCCAGUAAGAUCAGCUCCAAACCUGCUAUGAAUUUGCUUUUUGUUUCCAUGCCAAGAAUAUAUCACUUCUAACUGCUGCAAUCAGGGCUGGUCUUUUCAAUUUAUUUUUUUUUAAGUGCUUUUGGGCACAUUUAUUUCCCAUCACCAGCAGAUACGAGUGGAGCCUGACUCUCCUUCCCUCGGGCAUGUCCCAGCCUGCUUUUGCCCACAAUUAAUUGUCGCUAUCAGGGAAUAUUUUUUUUCUUUCCUUGCCUUUUUUUGUUACUGCAUUCGGUAAACAAAGGGACAGCAGUGAUGAUCCAAAACCGUUCUUUUUAUUUGCCUGGGAACAGAGUCAACUAUUUGUGGGUCUUUUGUUGCUGAUUUUUUUUCUCUUUUUAGCUGGUGACCGUUUAAACGGCUACUGGUACCUGUGGUGAGCCUGCACUGGUGCUGUGGGAUUUGUCACCUGAUGGCACUGAAAAUCAUGGAUGGGGCACUGAUGAGGACAAGGAGCUGCACAUGGAAUGUAUCAGGUCAAACCAAAGGUCCUGGGCACAGUGGUCCCUUCUGUCCUUCCCAAAGAAUAUGAAAAUAGCCUGCAGGGUUUUCCUGGUGGCUGCACUUGCCUCAGUUUUCCCAGUUCUCAGCUCUCUGUUUCGAGGUGAUGCCCCAAGACAAGAAGCCUGGUGAUGUUUGCACCCGGUUAAGCCAGGAUGAGACCAGUUCUUGGAAAUGAGCUUGUCAAAACACCUGGGAGAAGAAAGGCAGGGAGGGAUGAGAGGUAGAGAGAAGGAAGCUGUAGGCUCUUUUAGCUUGAGGGCAGAGUUACACUGGCCUCUCCAUCCCUGGGGCCCAUGCAGCAGCAGAGCAGGCAGUGAAGGCAGCUUCUGGAAUGGUCUCUUCCUAGCAGACACCAGUGUCAUCCCCACCUGCCCCUCCAACUACAACCUACAGGGUGCUCCAAAAACCCAGGCAGAGCUUCUCUGCCCCAUUGCACCAGGACACAGCAGGCCCUGGGGCAGCACUGUGAGGAACAGGAAUGCAUUUUCCAAGGGACAUUUAGGGUCUUCAGUUAUUUUUGAAAAUGGCUCAGAGGGUCCUAAUUCAUGUGCUGUAGAAAAAGGCUGCCUGUGAACACCCUGUAUAGUGAGGACUUUAUGGGUGUUGCCUGUAAGUCACCACCAGAUGACUGUAGCUGCUGUUACAGCGUUGGGCUUUGCUGGUGGCACACACAGAGCUUGGUAUCCUGGGGAUGUCUGAAUGGGAGUCCUUCCCUAACACCACUGAGGGGACGGCUGGCUGGCAAGGGAGAUCAAUCACCCUGAGCUGGCAUCCUUCAGGAGCCAUUAUUUCAAUAGACCACAGAAGUGAGGUAGUGCUGGGGGAAGCCAGGUGUGGCUCCCAGAAGCUCUGCUGGAGCCCUUGCCCGGUGCCUGCCCUGGGGACAGGAGGAUCCGAGUGCCAGGCUCAUCUCCCAGGGGGGUCUGCAGAGCACCACCCUCCUCUCUGCCCUCCAGGCUGUUUCAAGGAACAUUUUGCAGCCCUGAGGAUUUCUGUUUGUGCCAUCCAGCAUGGGAACAGGCAGGGGGACAAUUCGGUCCUGCUGCCCUUCUCAGUUUUUUUGGUGCUUGGUUUUACUUGGCUCCAGAGCAAUUCCCAAGGCCUCCGAGUGACCGCUCAUUGUCACAGCAUCCUCUUGGGUAUUUUCCUCCCACGUAUCCCCACACUUUGGGCAGUGAUGUGUGCUGGGGACACCCCGGUUGCCAUCAGAGUUAUUUUUGACCCCUGGACACUCAGGAACAGCACAGGGGGAGCUGCUCCCCUGCCUCUGCCAGCCAUAACUCUGGUGCUGCAAACUAAACCCCUGGGACAUCCCUGGGGGCCAUAUGGUGUCUCUGAGGCUUUGAUCAAGUUGAAUGAAACCCAAAGCAGCCAGGCAGGUUGGACUGUGAGCCACAGUGAGCCUGGGGGGGCCUGUCCUGCCCUUCUUGGAGCGUGCAGGCUGCCAGCCCGGGCAUUAAGAAGCACUUUGGUGUCUCUUGCCAGUGCCCAGUGGAGGUGCUGCUGAGAUUGAGGGGAGGGGUUGCAUGUAAAGGAGGAUGGUUUUGUGGUCAGGUGAUACAAGUGGAGGGAACAGCAUCUCAGGCUGAUGUUUGAAAAAGCCAUCAGGCAGCAGGUGGGUGAGGGGAGCCUGAGAACACAGGGUGUUUGCUGUAAAUCUGGGCCAAAAAAGCUGUGAUUCAAACCUGUUCUCGGGGCCAAGACUGGCGCUGCCAAGUCACCAUGGAUUGCAGGAGCCCCCUGCCUGGGGCUCUACUUCUUUUAGGUGAGGAUAAACAGUCCUGGAACACAUGGAGGAGAGGUACAUGUGGGUCUAGCCUGCUGGGGUCCACCAAAAAAAGUCUCAGUUCCACAGAGGCAAGAAAAAUUACUCAGGAGAAUUUCUCCUGGAUUUUACCCGGCACCUCCCUGUGGUACUUUGUGAUACUUUGAGCUUGCUGUUGGGAAAAUAAGCAGCUCAGGUUGGUUGAAUCUCAAACCUUAUAUUAAGCAUUUACUGGCUGGUCUCCAGGCAGAGCCAUAUUCCUGCUGCCAGCCAGACUCAGCCCUCAGCCCUGCCCUGGGGGACUGGGGGGUUGUGAGCAGUGUCUCCCCCACUGGGAUGCACAGUCAGGAGGAGGGAUUUGUACCUUCCCACCUGGACCUGUGGAGGCUGAAGGGACUCAGUGAUAUCAGGGCCUGCCAGAAGGGACAAGGACCUUGUGCAAAGGGUGGAUGUUUAAUGUUACAAAGGCUUCUGGAGUCUUGCUCUAUAAUUCCAAUUAUAUAAAAAGCCAGAUUUCAGACUUUACUCUAAAAGAAGUGCAGGGGUAGAGGGAUGAUGGUUUCUGACUGAUUGUGGAUUUAUUUUUUAAUUGUGUACCCACAAAGUGAUGUCAUGCAAAAAAAAUCUAACCCAUACAGAAACUCAUUUCAAAAUGAGUAACUGCAACAUUUUUUCAGUCAUUGUCUAAAAAGGCUAUUGCAAGAUUGCUGGGGCUCCCCUUCUCCCCAGUAUGAUAUUCUGAUAUAAUUGAUGGGCUGUUUGGACUCUGAUAGCAUUUGCUUCCACUCAGUUUCUCAUGAAAACCCUCCUGAUGCCUUGUAGAGCCACAAGAAGGUACGUAAGCUUUACUCUCCCACUUUCUCCCUCCCAGAAGGAAAAUGGGAACUGGAAAAUUCCUCCAGUUUCUCAGCAGAGGGGCUGAGGGGCUGAGGCAAUGUGGUUCUGUACAAAGCAGCUCUGGCCACGGGCUCUCUCAGCAGUUUUAUCUGCUUGUUGGGCUGGAAAUCAUGACCUCAGCCACGACCACAGGUGCUCUCUGGAACACUCUGCAAGGAAAUCUGUUUGAAUAGCAACAGCAGAACUACUGGAAUAAUUUAUGCAUCUGAACUAGCAAGGUGUUAAUCUGUCUCAGGGGCAAAACAAAAAUGCUGCGAAACUUCCAGGGGCCUUGCUUGGUUUUUCUGCACCUCAGCAGGCUCUCAGGCUUGUGCUUGUGCAUCGCUGUGUGGAGAACACCCAGCACAGAGAGGCCAUUUCUGCUGAUAACAGAAAAGUUGGUGUUUGGUCCUGCUGUCAAUGGGCUUUAGCUUGGAGGGAAACCUCCACUAGUCAGCUGCUUUGUGGCAUUUUUACAGCAAAAUAAAAGAUGCCUGGAAUUAUUUGUUGGUCACCAAGCAAAUGUUUUACUGCUGAAAUGUUCCAGAGGCUGUUUACAGAGUCUUGACUGACAAAAGUGCAAAAAACUUACAACUUAUGCCCUGCCUUCCCAAGAGGCAAACCAUGAAGAUGAAGGUGGAGAUGGAGCCACCUCCUGCAAGAGCAGCAGGGGUCACCCAGGGCUGAAACUGGGGAGAAGCUAAUUUGUUAUGCAAAUGUCUACUUGAGCCUGGUUGUAUACAGUGGAAAGCUCUUGAAUUAUUUUAAGCAGAGGACAAAAGUUCUCUCCCUCCCCCAUCAUCUUGGAUCCUUGCAAAAACAAAACAAAACAGAAACCUCUGUGUGAACCAUCUGACAAUGAUCAGUACUUGGCUUUCCUGGCAAGAGCAGGGUGUACACAGGCACAUGGAAACAGAGCAAUUAAGGAAAAAAACGGUAUUGGAAGCAGCCGGGCUUUAUUUCGUCUUGAUGACAGCAUGAACUGAUCAUCCUCCAGCCUUAUCUCUGUGAGCUUGCCGAGCACAGGAUGCUGCAGGGGCUGGGGGGCUCUCCCUGGGUGACCCACAGCUCCCCCCGCUGCCUACCUGAGGCUGAGGGCUGAGGCUCAACCCUGGCUCUCUGGGCAAGGAGGGGAGCAAGAGUGGCUAUUUUGGAAGUAAGAAGCACUUUCAGGCCAAAAGUUCAGGCUGGCAGCCUGGUUCUUGCAGAGAAGGCACCCGUGCGAGGUUCCUGGGCUGUCUGGCACUGGGCUCCCCGGCCGCCCGCUCCCGACCACAGCACUGGCCACGGCUUUGCAUGAGCAGAUGUGCAUUUCACACUGCUCAGAAAAUCCUGUCAGCAUUUAUAUAGAAUUGAGGGGUGCAGAGGGGACAAAGCUGAGCCUUUCCCACAUGGGUGGUGAUGCCACACGCUGCCAUUCCCGUGGGGAGUGUGGCUAAACCUGUGCCGUGUACUCCUGCAGCACAGGCUGUGCGAGGCAGCAGCACUGCCUGUGCUCUGCCCACAGGGAGCUGCAGCAAAAACUUGUUUUCCAGGCAGGUUGUGUCUCUCCAGAGUGGUUUUCCACUGAGCCAAGCUCUCCUCUGACCUCAGCAUCCCUGUGCCCCCACACCAUGAGAAAGCCCAGCGGGCAGCAGAGCUCUGGCAUGCAGGGGGCUGGUUAAGCUGGGGUGAAUCAGCUUUUAGAAAAGGUGUGGGGUUCAGACAAGCCAUUGCCCUGUGCUGGAGAGAUUCCUGCUGGUUCUGCAGCCCUGUGGUGAAAUGGGGGUGCGGCACAAAGCCCCUUCCUACAGGGCUGCCUGGCUGCCUCGCUGGGCAGCUGCUGGUGCUGGCAUGACCCAGCUGCUGACAGGGAAACCUGGAUUUUUCCACACAGCAAAAGUCACGCAGGGUCAACUCCACUGAUUCCUGCACGGAGCUUCCCCACAGUCCCAUCCCAAACACGUCAGGGAGCUGCUGAGCUGCACUGCUCCUGCCCCAAAACAUGUGGGUCCCUCGGGCUUUGCUGGUGCUGCUGAGGGAGGUCAGCGAGGCCACAGAGGCUGGGGAAAACCCUCCACAAGCCCAAACAACCCCCCAAAAGCCCCAUUCAGCCCGCAGAGUUGAGUUCAAGUCAAUGUGGGCUCUGCUGGCUCCUCAGCUCAGGCCAGCUUGCACCCCAGGGUCCCUGGGUGCAGGUGACAUCCCUGAGAGCUCAGGACUCACCUGUCCUCAGCCUGGCUCUCUCCUGUGACACACAGGGGAACCAGAGGCACUUGGCCAUUCCCUGAGGCCCUGGACUCACAUGUGUACCUUUUGUGGCAGGGGAUGAGCUGCUGUGCUGGCCAGUUCCUCGUCUCAUGCCACCAUCCUGCCUUGCUGACACUCAUCCCGUGGGAGCCUGUGAGGCAUGGCAGAGGAGGCAGCAUGUGCCUUUGGCAGGCUGGACAAAGCCCCCACCAUCAUCUGUACCACAAGGAACUCAGCCUUCCCCCAGGAAUGUUCACGGCUGAAGCUGGGGAGGGAGGACAGAGGACGGCGGCAUGUGGGAAAUGCGGUGGCACAGACCCUGACGAAUGUCAUGGUGAGCUAUUUUAAGAUUUUUAUCUUGCUACCCUCUGACAAAAAUGUGCUUUGGAGCAGAGCUUAUCAUGUGCAGUUUGGCACAUGGGGACCCGUGAGGGGACAGUGGGGCUGGUCCCUGUGAGCUGGGGCAGUGAUGUGGGGCUGGUGGUGAAGCAGCACUGGGUGCUGCCAGCACAGCACCCAUCUGUGCCAUGGGAGAUGGGCAGGAACAGCCACAGGCCUGACCCAGACAGCCCGUUCAGUGGCUCCCCAAGAUAAAAACCAGGUGUCUGAGCCAAAAUCCCAGCCCAGGUCUGAAUCAAGGGAGUGCUAGACUUCACUGUGCUCCUGGCUUCCUGGUGUCACCCAGACCAUGGGGCAGCUGAGAACCUUCCCUGCCUCCAAUUUCUAAACUUUGGAUCUUUCUAAACAGGGUGAUUGAUCAGAUGAUGAUGCUGCUGCCUCCUGUAGUCUCUUUUCCCCAUGGUUGUGUCCCAGGAACAUGGGGGAUCACGUGCACAGGCAAGCAAGUGGCCCUGGGUGUGUGCCCUGGGAUUGCCACCACCACCAGCUCCCACUGGCUCCCAGGGGAGGGCGAGGGAGUGCUGGUCUGGGAUGGAACACCGCAGACAAGCCCUCCUGAGGUGAGGAGGUGUAACUCUGCAAACACUCAAACCGACAGCAGCACCCCCACUGCUGCGAGCUGAGGGUUCGUGUGAGUUAUCACCCUCGUCCUCUGGGCUGCUGGGGCUGGAGAUUAGGGAGCUGCUCCUUAUCAGCCCCCGGCCCCGCACCCAUGGGGCUCCCCUUUCAGUCUUAUUCACUGGAGAAAUGAGUAAGCCUGUUGUAACCACCAUGCUGGGACCUCUAAGCAGGCACAGGCUCGGGCUGUGCUUGGUGGGUUGGGGUGAGGGUUUUUUAAAGCAUCUCAGCACACUGACCUACAGCAUCCAGGACAUGCUGCAGACACCCAUGGGAGCUGGGGCUGUGCUGGAGCUCAGGGCCUUGCACAUACAGAGCUCAGCAUGUCUGAUGAGGAUGGAAAGAGUUAACUCUGUGUGUGUGCAUGUGCACGUGUGUGCAUAGGAGGAGAGGGGAAAUCCAAGGCCCUCACUGUUCCCACAAUCUGCAGUGCCUCAGUUGCACAGAGACCCCACAACUGUCCCCAAACCCACUGCCUGUGCACAGAGCUCUUGGCCCAAUCUCUGAACAUGGGCCCAACUCCUGUGUGUACCCAUUCCUCCAUCCCUCCAUCCCUCCAUCCCUCCAUCCAUCCAUCCAUCGGGCUGAGCAGGUCUCAGCCCCAGCCUCCUGCAGCACCACACUGGGAUGUUCUGCACAGCAACCAUUUCUAGCAGUGUAUUCGACAGCUACAAGAAAAUAUUCCUGCACUCUUCAGCUUCACUAGGCACAUGACCCAGACAGUGCCAAUGGUAUAAACAUUUGGAUUCAAUUUAUUCUCCUUCCUGCAGGCUCUGUCUCGGCUGGCAACUGCAGAGCAGUGCUGGGACUGGGGCUGCUCCCUGCCCACGGGACAGGGGCCGGGGCAGGUGCUGGCAGUGCCCUAGCAGCCUUUUACCCAACUCGAUGGGAUAUUUUUAAUAUUUUUUUCCAUUCAAGCCCAUACAGAGCUGCUGGCAGGCCUGGUGCUUUCAUCCAGAUUGCAGAUGCCCAAAAUAUCUGUGUUCUGGACUGAGCAGACUGAGGCUGAAGUGCCCAUGGUUGGCUGAUUGAAGAGAACAUAUGGGAAUGCAGAAAGACAGACAGACAGACAGACAGACAGACACCCACAGGCAAAGUGCCUGAGCGUGUAUGGCAGCAGUGGGCAAGAGGAUGGGGGAUGCCCUGGACUGUGAGUGCCCAUCUCCAGCCAUGGCUCUCACAUCACUACAGGAUCUUUUUACUGUUUUUCCCAGCCCUCUGAAACUGAGCUCAGUCCACGACGUGGUUUUGCCCCAGGCGAGCUCGUGCUACCAGCCAUUAAAUUUUGUUGCAUUGCUGUUAUGUUAUGCUCCUCAUUUUAAAUUAUCUGCCAAUCUGCAAUUCACCUGGCAUCUUCAGCAGCCAGGAUUUGUGAAAUAAAAGUUAAAAUAUCAGUUGAAAUAAGGCAUUCAUAUGUAUUCUUUCACACACACAUAUAUAUGAAUGCACAUGGCUAUUGAUAAAAAAAAUCUGUUUGUUCAUAGAUACAUGUUUCUAAUCAGAUUUAUAAUGUAUGUAAUAUAAAUGUUUUUGUACACAUAAAAUUCACUUGAAAAAGGAAACCAAAUUGGUUUACCUUACUAAAGUGGCAUGAAAUAUAGACUAGUGUACAUUGUUGAAAAUAAGGUAGGAUGUGGGUUUUGGAUGGUUUUUCUUCCCCUGAGGGCUUGUUCUACUGUGUUUUUGUCUAAAACCUGCUAAUUUUAAAGCCAGCUGAUGGAAAACUAAUGGUACGAUCUAUUUAUUUCAUUUCACUUUCAUUUUGCACGGCUCAAGCUUUGUUUAACGGGCUCACAUGUCAGCAGCUCAUGCAAACACAGCAGCUGAUGCUACCAGAGACCGCAAACGGCUGUCGCUGACCUCCCCUGUGUUUAUCCAGAGGUAGAGAUUGAACAGGAGCCACUCAAGUGAGCUGAGUCUGAUUUUAAAAGAUCUUUUGAGUGUUAAACAUGUAAUAAGAUGCUCAGUGCUAUUUUCAAACCAAGACAUAUUCCUGGCUGAUUUACAAAAGGCCACGGCCUCCAGCUUUAUGUGGCUCCUGGGAUUUUGGGGUCUCAUUGAUUCAAUUCCUGACAACAAUCUCUGACUUCUCCACCUCUGUGUCUCCAUCUCUAACCUUUCCAUCACUAACCUUUCCAUCUCCAACAGCUUCAUCACCACUAUCAGCCUCCUGAGCACAGACACAGAUAAUAAAUCUGAGUCUUUAAUUGCCCUCGCACACCACGUGCCCUUAUCUGAGCCAUCGUCCCUGUUGCUGUGCCCUGUCACACCUCUGUGUUUCCAGGUUUGUGGUGCUGGUGUCAGCAAAGGGAUAAAACAACAGUUAUUUGGUUCUGGUUUUAGGUACAAAUCCCCCCAGUAACACACUCCUGCUUGCGUGGUCCCACACAAUGUGUCUGACAAGGCUGAGGGGGCUUUGCCGGGGGGAAUUUACAAACCCUCUGCUUUUACCUCAUGCGAGGUCCCACUUUUUGAUUAUUUGUGCAGCUAAAACUAAGCAAAAAUUUGUGGAGGUAAGAAAACCCCCAACAACCCAGCAUAAAUUCCCUUGCUAAAGACAUCAGUAAGAGUGGAGGGGGCUCUGCCCAGGAGUGUGGGUGCUGGGACAGCUGAUGCUGGAGAAGCCUCAAUCACCAUUUACAGCUGUUUGUUAUUCGGGUCACAAGAAGGCCCAAUGCCUCUGGUACCCAAGGGGGAUUUCUGUAUUCCCCCAAUUUAUCCUCCCCCUUCAGGAAGUUUCCCGCAGCCCUCCAGGAGAGGGGCCGGCACGGGCACAGCUGUAUCAGCAGCCGCAGGUCUAUCGGGCUGAGCAGAAGCUUUUCCAGGAACUAUCUAGUGAAACACAUGACCCUGCCCGGGAGAUACGUGACAGGCAUUCACCGGGCUCCCGGCGAGUCAGUUGACUUUGUUAUUCAAACUAUUUUAGUGAUGGUUUUUAAUCCCAGGCUUAAGUUUUUCUUUUUCUAUUUUUCUCCCCCCCCCCCCCCCCUUCUUUUUUUACUCUCUGAACAAGGGAAUCUCUAUGCUGGCAGGAUUCAGAGAGGCACAAAGGAGGGAAAAACAAGUUUCAGCCAGAAGAGAGAGAAAAAAAAGAAAGGGAUGCUGUUAGCAUUCCCUGUAUGUGAGGGGGUAAAAACAUUUUGCUAUGAACUCUAUUUUAAAGGGCAAGUGCCAACAGCAGCCCAGUUACUAUGCAAAUAAAUCCUGUGCUCAGCCUUUUCCUCUCAGCUGUAAAGGUUUGGUACUGGGGCUGUGGGAGUUCGGCCAUGGGGGCUGGCAGUGCCCAUUGUGCCCUGCAGUGCCCCCAGUGCUCCCUCUCGGGGAUGGCCACUGGUUGGGGGUGCCACUUUGAAGCUCUAGAACUUGAUGGGAGCCCUUGGGGCUCCCCAGGUGUCACCAGAUAACAUGGGGCAGCGGGGGUAGUGCUGGGUAACCCCUUGCUCCUUAUCACGAGCAGGUUCAGGCAGCUGCUGGCAGCAGAGCCCUCGGCUGUGCCUCUGUGACAGGGGACACCCCAGGGAGAGGGAGUGCCUGGGAAGGGCAGAAAUCUCACCCCAGCCAUCCCCUUCCCACAGUGGGCAGAUGGGGAGGGUCUGGCACCAGCCAAAGCUCCUCAGGCAGCCUGGGUAUACAGGGCUGUCUCUCAGCUCGCUGCUGUGGGGUGGGAAGGGAGGGGAUGCUGGGAGAUGAUGCUGGACUGUGGCUGGGCUGGUCCAGAUGGUGACCAGGACCCCAGCCCCAGUAUUUAUGGUGAUAUUUCCUCAUGACAGCAGAGGGGCUGCACAUCCUUUAGCCCAUGAAAGCCAAAGCUCACCCUGACAGCUCUGGUGUGAUCGUUUCCUAUACAAAAUAUUUGAAUUUGUCAUGCAAAUGACUGGGCAUGUGGGCACAGCUGGCAGGAGGUGGCCCAGGCUGUGUCAGCCACCAGCAUGGCCAUGGGGAUGUGCCCAGGACAAGGUCUGGCCCCACAAGGCCAGUCCCACUCCCAGAACCUGUGCCAAGCAGAUGGUGCUGCUGGGGGUGCCCUGCCGAAACCACCCAGCCCUCGCCACUCCUCCCCACAUCCCCGUGGCUGCACAUUGCUGCACCAAAGCUCUUAAAACAAGCACUGUGACUCCCCAGCUCGUGCCAUCCCUUGGCUUCUGCCUGGCUGCAGCAGAGCUGAGGUGCCUGGGGUGAACUUCUUUCAUGCCAGGACAACAUAAGGCAGGCACAUGGUGCAGGUGAAAGAGGAUGCUCCAUCAAGCAAUGCACAAAAAAAAAAGAAAAAAAUUACACCUUUAAGCAUUUUCAAAGUGAUUUAAGCACUCGCCUUGUGCUACCUUUACCAGUCAGGAGCCAGGCAGCCACCACCUCCCAUCCACACCCCACUGCUCAUACGCUGCAUUUAACUCAGCUAACUGUCAGCACAGUGACCCUUUGAGCUCUUCCCACUUUCCCAGUCUAGCAUCAGGACAAGGAAGUGCUUGGGCUCCUUUUUAGGGGCCACAGCCUUCCCUCACCACCUGCCACCACAGCCCCUCUCCCCCCCGGCGGAGCUCAUUAUUCUGCCCGGCCGCACUUUCGCAGUCGGGUUCUCGCACCCAGGAAGGCGGCAGGUUGGGCUGUUGUUUUGAUGUGGCCGUUUCUCGAAAUGAGCCCGGAGCAAAAAGUGAGCGGGAUCCAGGAAUGGCAUUCGGCAGUGGCAGGCUGGGUGCUGGUAGCGCCGCCUGCGCCCUCGCUUCCUGGCAGUUUGGCCACCGUUCAGGAAAUUAGACAGCUAAAUGGAAAAUCAUCACUCUUUGCACUUCAGACUGCACUGCACAUGGGUUUUUUCAAUAUGAAAAACAUGGGUUUUUUCAACAGCAAAUUGAUUUUCAGCAGCUUUGGUGUGUCCCUAUUGACUGGGGGAGAUGUGGGUCCCCAGUGAAGGCAAAAGGUGAUGUUCAGCAGUGCCAGGCACCACUGCCUGAGGACGGGCACCCCAACGCUGCUGAGCUGGGGCCAAGUGCUCGUCAGUGGCUCCCAGCACCUCCAUCCAGCUCCAAAAUCCUCCCAUCCCUCUUCCUCAGAAAGAUUUAUGACAGGGAGGAAGAAGAAUUGCUGAAUAAUCUCCAGCCCCAAUAGCACUUCAAAGGCAGGUCUCGGGCCAGGCUGAGCUCCCCGCCAGCACCGCGCUGGAUGCGGCGCUCGGCUCUUACUUCUUUGGCAGCCCCACAGCAAAUCCAGAAAGUAAUUACUUAAAAAGGAAAUAAAUGUCACCCACAUGGUUGUAAGUAAAACCCCGGGCAGGAUGGACAGAGCCCCAUCAGGAUCUGCAUUCUCACGCAAUACAAGCAAGGGAGGAAGGAGCUGUUUCCAUUCAUCCAGAUGGGCUGUUUACUCUGAGGCCCACUGAUGACAUUAGACAUGCCCACCGUGUGCCUUCCACUUCACCAGGGUGGUUGAUCAAAAACAAUGCUGAACUGCCUCUGCUUUCAUCCUAUGGCACCCUCUUCCCCUAGGAUGGCUUUAGGCACCAUUACCUUCAACAGCAGCAUAUGCUGGUGCCAAAGACAUGACACUUCCUGGCACCAGUCCUGCCAUGACCUUCACAGACAGGAACCAGAUAACUGGCGCGAUCAAAUAGAAUAAUUUUAUUUACUUCUAAAAACUGAUUCUUGAGGUUUUGUAAUUGUCAAAAUCUGAAAACCAAGUUGGUUGGGGAAAGUCCAAUGCAGCCACCUUACUAAGGCAAAGCAGGCUCAGGGAUGUGAGCACCCUGCCAGUCUCACUGCUGCUGCACCUGCCUCAGCAUCAGAGAGGCCUUCAGCAACCCAUCCUUAACAAGGCUUUGGCAGACCACUCACUUUUGGAUAAAUUCAGCUUUGGAAAACAACUCUUAGACUGAACAAUUAGGAAGGUGGUGUCCUGAGGAUUAUGGGGUGGGAUCUGAUCCCAGCUGUCCCUGCUUCCACUGGAGCUGCACCAGGACAGCAGCACUUCCCCCCCUCUGCUCUGCACAGAGUGAGAAAGUGCCCCAUACCAGCACUGGGGACCCACAGCUCUGUGAGCUCAAAAACCCUGAGGUGACUUGGGACAGGCAGAGCAAGUAAGGGCACAUGGCACACGCUGCAGGGACAGUGGCACCCAGGCAGUGCCUGUCAGGAUGCCAGCAGGGGCUUCUGCCCCAGGACACACACUCCUGGCCUACGCCAGCACACUCAUGGUGAAGGCCUAGUGUAGCCAGAUCAGGUCCGUUGGGAAGUACUCCCUAAUGCACUUCGGCCAAGCAAACAUGGUACCAUAGAGCACUGAGUAAUUUUAAAAGUU